AUGACCAACAACCUGUGGAUCACUAAUAUUGAUGGCACCAAUCGUCUGUCCCUCGUGCAUAUCGAGCAGUUUGCUGACCUCUGGGAUAAAUUAUCAACGGUGGCCCUUGAGGAAGAUGUGGAAGACUCCAUUAUUUGAAAGUUCACUAAGGAUGGGAUUUAUUCUGCUUCAUCGGCAUACAAGGCACAAUUUGAAGGUCUCAUAUCCUCUGAUCUUGUCAAGUCUGUGUGGAGGGCCUGGGCUCCCAGGUGCAAAUUCUUUGCUUGACUCGUUCUUCAAAAUAGAAUAUGGACAUCAGACCGCUUGAUCCGUCGUGGCUGGCCCAACCGCGGCUUGUGUCCCCUUUGUAAGCAAGCACAUGAGUCCGCUGCUCACCUACUCUUCCAGUGCCGCUUCACAUCGCGCAUUUGGAACGACAUUCUUACAUGGCUUGGAAUGCACCACAUCUCUACUACUACAUGGACGGUGAGCGCUUCGGUCAAAGAAUAGUGGGACAACAACCUUCAGAUUUGUCUCGGCUCUCCCAAAGCCUUGGCCUCAUUGAUGAUGCUCAUCUCUUGGGAGGUUUGGUCUGAGAGAAAUGCUAGAGUCUUUCGCAAUGUGGCGGUUCCAUCGGUGGUCAUCAUCAACAAGAUCAAGCAUGAGGAGUCGCUUUGGGCUUUGGCGGGUGCCAAGCACUUGAGUAUUGUAAUGCCGCGAGAGUAA
rnacentral:rRNA from 1 species